CUUAAAAAAAAAAUGAAAAAAAAAAAAAAGGAUUUGGAAAUACUCAAAGGACAAAAGCUAUGUGAAAGUGGGAAUCCAGAGAAGGAAGUGAACUACUGAAGUCAAGUUUUACCUUGAGGACAUUUGUACAACAUGGUAAACUUAACCCUCAGUUUUCACAGUUGGGGUGAUGUGGGGACGGGAAGCAAUACCCAGGGCCUAUCCAAGGUGUGGAAUAUAAGAUACCGCUCAAGUAACUGAAGCCAGAACCCCAAAGGGCCUGAGACUCAGUGAAGGGGUGAACUAGAAAUAAUCACCCUAUACACACACAUAUACCAUAGGAGAUGGCAGAGAAAAUGCUCUUCUCAAAUCAUAAUGGUGAGAAAGGGAGGGAAAUUAAAAUCUUCUCUGAGAUUUUAUAACCUAUCUCAGGAAAAGAAAACACACACACACACACACACACGCAGAAACCAGUGCAGUCAGCGAGACAGAAGCAUAGUAUGCUGACGGUGCUAAUUCUAAUCUGAAUUCUAGUCUAACAGCUAUGGUUUUGAGAAAAACAUGUUUUUCCUCGGUGGUCAAAACCAGGAUGUGAAACCAUAUGCCUGGAGCGGUCUUGACAAAGUGACCAUCUGCACCCCACAAAAUACACAAGCUCAGAAGGGGUGCUGUCUGGGUGCUAUUGUCAGCAAGGUAUUUUUGCAAGAUAGACAAACUACAUGUAAGCAUCUUGUGACCACUGUACGAACACGCUGUGAAAACUAUCUGUAGUCUCUAAUUAUAGCUAUUAAUAAUUGGUAACCAAUCAGUGUUUUGCAGCUUUACCCUCUGAACCAAUAAGUUGCCUUCCUCCCACCUCCAGAGAUCACACCUCCCACUUCCCCAACUGGAGAUGCACCAGCCAAAACUAAUCUGUGGCUGAUGCCUGCGGAGGGCUGCGGUAGCAAUGUCACUAGCCCUGAUUCAGAGCCCCUCUCCCAAGACCACUGUCAGGUCUCAGUGAGCUGUGCUGUUCCCAGCUGGAACUGAAAUCUUUGCUUUCAGUAAAGCCCUGUGAUUUUAUCCCAAACAGGCCUGGUGUUCCAUACCGCAACGAUAAACCUUACGGUGAUCCUUGGGAGAGUUUGUAGCCUGAAUUCGCGCUGUCUGGCUAACACAGAAACCUCAAGGUCGGACUGACUCGCCCACCAGACCUGAGUCUCGGCUUGUACCACACGUUGCUACAGGUACCUUCUGGCUUAACCUGAGGUAAACUCUAUUUCAAAGAGCUUGAACUUGCUCAUCUGGGUAUGAGCUCUGCAGAAGCCAGCAGCCUCUCCCUCUAACACCGUGACUUGUGCAAGAACUAUUUUUCAGAAAGAUGCUUGAUAAUUCAUCUGACACUGACUUUGCACAGUUACUUAACUUCCUUUGAAACAGCAAAUGAGAUGGAGUAAAGUCCACACGGUUCAUCAAGUUCGGCAAGCGGAAAGAGUAAGAGUCAAAUCAUGCAUUUCAGAGAUGAAAAGGAAUACUGUAUUGCUUUGGGGACAAUAUGACUACCCUUAUGUCUAGUUAGUUCUGUUACAAAUGGGACAUUCAAACUUGUUCCCUUGCCUCUUUGUCAUUUGAUAUUUUGCCAUACGUUGUCUUUUCACAAAAGCCAUUUCAAGGAGAGAAGAGUUUUUGCCCCUCUCUCUGUUUCUCCUUCCUCUUUAGUCUGUCUGGUUCUUCCUCCCCCACCUGCCACCACCUAGUAAAAAAACCAAAACCGUUGCCAUCAAGCCAAUUCAGACUAAUGGAGACCCCAUGUGGUACUAAGUAGAGUUCCACAAGGUUUUCUUGGCUGUAAUCUUUAUGGAAGUAGGUCGCUAGGCCUUUCUUCCAUGAGCGCCACUGGGUGGGUUCAAAUCUCCAACCUUUUAUUUAGUAGCCCAGUACAGACCAUUUGGGCCACUCAGGGACAUCCCCACCCUCCACCCCCAUAUAAACCCCUCUAUCUCUCUCUCCUCCUGCAUUCUCUUUCUCAAAUAUCCACGGAUAUAAUUAAAAGAUAAUGGAAGCGGGUGACGUGGUAGCCCUUAUGAUCUUUAAUGUUUCUACUUUCUCAGUUCCCAGGUCCACUUGAGCCACUAACAAAUCUUUCAGGUUUCCAGAUGGAGAGAGCGAACUCCACUGUGAAAUAUACACCUCCCAGGAGUAAGCUUGCCAGCUGUUAAUAUCACAUUCGUCAAACCCCCUCAGCCACUGGUCUUCUCUCAGUGUUAGUACUCAUUUCUGAAUGCGCCACUGCCCCAAACCCAGGCCCAGGGCAAGGAGGGCUAACUCUAGAGCAGCUUCACUUGAGGCUCUCAGCACCUCUGCUUUGCAUUCCCCUGGGGAGAGAAGAAGUCCUGAAGACAGCCUAACUAGCUCACUUCCCCUCUCACGGACUAGAGUUGGGGUGUAAUAACAAUCGCUAAAUGAGUAGAAAUCGACUCCAUGGCAGCGGGGUUAAAUCAUGUAGAGAGUGUAAUGGGCUAGCUACUCUGAUACAGCCUGCAGUAUGGAUUACACCUCGACAUAAAGAAAACAAAAAUCCUCACAGCUGGACCAAUAAGCCACAUCGUGACAAACGGAGAAAAGAUUGAAGUUGUCAAGGAUUUCACUAAUCAAUGCCCAUGCAAGCAGCAGUCAAGAAAUCAAACAAUGUAUUGCAUUGGACAAAUCUGCUGCAAAAGACCUCUUCAAGUGUUGAAAAGCAAAGAAGUCAUUUUGAGAAGUAAAGUGUGCCUGGCCCAAGCCAUGAUAUUUUCAAUCGCCUCAUCUGCACGGGAAAGAGAGGGAAUGAAUAAGGAAGACUGAAGAAGAACUGAUGCGUUUGAAUUGUGGCAUUGGUGAAGAAUACUGAGUGUACCCUGAACUGUCCGAAGAACGAACAAAUCUGUCUUGGAAGAAGUACUGCCAGAAUGCUCAUUAGAAGCGAAGAUGGUGAGACUUCAUCUCAUGUACUUCGGACAUGUUAUCAGGAGGGAACAGUCCCUGGAGAAGGACAUAAUGCCUGGUCAGUGAAAAAGAAGAAGACCCUGGAUGAGAUGGACUGACACAGUGGUGCUACCAACAGGCUCAAGCAUAACAAUUGUGAGGAUGGCGCAGGACCAGGCAGUGGUUCUUUCUGUUGUACAGAGGGUCGCUAUGAGUCAGAACUGACUUGACAGCGCUUAACAACAACCACAGCGAUGUUUUAUAUCUGAUCCUUACCUCAUUUCAUCUUACCCUAAGGCUAUGUAGGGACUAUUACUAUACUUAUUUCACAUAUAAGCGGAAAGGUUAAGUGACUUGUCCAGAGUCACACAGCUUGUAGAGCUAGGAUUUGAGUCCAGACCUGAUGAUUCCGAGACCAAAGCAUGCUUCGCCCAUGGGACCUGAUGCUGGUGGUAACUUCCUCAUUCCUUCAUUCAACCAAGAAAUACUUACUGAUUAUCCGCUAUGUGCUAGACCAUAUUCUACAUGCUGGGGGUUCAAACCAAAAACCCGUUGCCGUGGUGUCAAUUCCCAUUCAUAGCAACCCUAGAGGAUCCAGUAGAACUGGCCCAUAAGAUUUCCAAGGCUGUAAAUCUUUACUGAAGCAGACUACCACAUUUUUCUGCUGUUGGAGGAACUGACCGGUUCAAACCACUGACCCCAGCACAUAACCACUGCGCCCCCAGGACUCCAAUGGUGAUUAAAAAAACGGUCCCUAAACUCCAAGAGUUUGCAAUCCAGAGAACGAAGUCAACAAGGAGAGAUGCUGCCCCGUGGUGUGUGCGCUGCUAGGGACGCCUGGCAAGUAGGCACCCUCAGAGGAGAGAACUCAAAGUCAGCCCCCAAACUCGUGUGGCUGCACUUCUUCCACCCACUUGUUGAAGGAGAUGCCCAUCACAGGCUGAGAGGCUAGUGGUGACUUACCUCCCCUGGCGUCUCUUGCCGCCCUGGAGUGUAAUUUGAACGGGGAUGCUGAACGGCUGCAUGAGACCAGGGGGCUGGGCAAAAUGGACCCCUUUUGCCUGAGUCACGGCCUCUGAGGGCGCGGGGAGGGUGCAUUGUAAGCACCGACGGAAGCGGGGUCCCAGAGCCUCGGCGCGGCGGCAGCCAUCAGAGUUGCUAGCCUGGAGGUGGUGCACCGCCCGCUUUCCCAGACAGGCCGCCUGGGGGCGCUACAGACUCCGGGCCAGACGGCAGCAGGCAGCCCCAGACCCUCCAGAUGGACCUGCGUCGUUGUCUGCAGCCAAAGGCGGCUUCUCCUCUGUGGGUGCCUACUGCCUGCAGCCGCCUUGUCACCUGUGUUUCCACUUCAGCAGCCAAGUGCAUCGCCAUAGUAACCUACACGCUUGUGGAAAGUUCUUAGGCCCAAGGGACCCUAUAUAAUUGGUAAGGGAUAAGCUCAGUUCAAGGUUUGUAAGAGGAAAUGUUUUUGCCCUGGCCACAUUUCCUUUAUCUUGAAAUGUUUGUUACAGCGCAAGCUUAGAGAAUGGGUUUUUCUGGUUAACUGAAUGUUCUGGAGUGAGAUAGUUCACUUUUAUACCAUAUGUGCUUCCCCUAUUUUUUCAAAAAGGCCAUUAAAAAAAGAAAGAAAAUCACUGUUAAAGCUAUAUCAAAGUUUAAAAAAAAAAACUAUUAUUAUUUUCUCUCUGAUGGCCUUUCAAUACGCCCAAAUUACGAAUAUCAAUUGCCAUUAUAUUGUAGCUUUGCUGAAAUGUGGAUGAUAGAAUGCCAGGAAAAAAACCAAAAAACACUUUUUCUGUGUAUUUUUUAGUAAAGGCAAUAUUACCUUAACAUUUUCCAAAACUGGUGUGAGCAAGAAUUUAAGUAUAACGUCAUCUAUAAACAUCCACAUAAACCGUUACUUGCAGUUGUUUUAAUAUUGUUUAAUGAAAAAAAUAUUUGUUUAUAUGGAAACCCUGGAACACCUGGUGGAUUCAAACUGCCGACCUUUUGGUUAGCAGCUGUAGCUGUUAACCACUACGCCACCAGGGCUCCUGAGGCUUUGGGUACUGGGUUCAAAUCCUAGCUUUGUAACUGAGUAACCUUUCAAACGUUUCCCACCAUAGUUCUCCUCAGUUAAAAAAAAAAAAAAGAAGUAAAGAAAACUCAGUAUGAGCUCUAGAGUAUGGUGUGACAUAACUGGUUGGGAGAUACAGCUGAAGGGGGCUGCUACUGCAUAAUGUUGUCAUUGGGGGUUCCUGGCUCCAGGGUCCACAGUCAUUUUCUUUUGCAUUUGACAGAUGCUUUAUUCAAGAAUAAAAAGAACUCUCCCUUCACCAUGCUGGAGAAACUACUUCUCCAUUCUUUUUCAUAUCCUCUCAGAUGACACUGCUUAUUACAGCUAAGAAUUCCUUCAUAACUGAAAUUCUCCAUGUUCAUGAGAAUUAUACCAGAGUGUUUUCAAUUUUAUAGAUACACAAAUCAUUUACAGCAACCUGAAAAGUACACAACAGCCUGUGUUCUUUGUAUGUCUGUGUAUAUCUGCGUGUAGGAGAAUAAAUACACUACUAACUAAACCAUCAUCAUCAUCAGGUAAAUUUUUGCUGAUGCAAGCAGCAAUUUAAGCUGUCAAAAGUCAAGUCAUACCUAGUCUUAGAUUCACUUUGCAGGAAAAAACAAACAACAAAGGAGAACUCUGUACCACGCACUUACUGAGUCUUACAUGGGAUCUUCCUUUUUCUUUAUCUUAAUGAGUAUCUCCAAUCACCUUUGCUAAUGAAAUGGACAUCUGAGCCUAUGAAGUUCUUAAUUGGCUCCCAUCAGAAAAACCAGCAUCGCCUUUCUGAAGAUGUUUUUCUUCCCCUGAUGAGUAAUAAUACUGAUAACCAGCUGCAGCUGAGUUGAUGCCAACUCAUGAAAAUCCCACAUAUGUCAGAGUAGAACUACUUCGUUGUAUGGUUUUCAAUGGCCGUGAUCUUCAGAAGUAGAUGGUCAGGCCUUUCCUCUGAGGUGCCUCAGAGUGGAUUCAAACUGCCACCUUUAGUUUAGUAGCUAAGUGCUCAACCAUUUGGUUCAUCCAGGGACUCCAAUAACACUGAUGGCUGGCGUUUAUUAAGUACUUACUACAAGUCAGGCAUGGUUCCAAGUCUUUACAUGUAUUAAUUUAUUUCUUGGACCUUUUCAAAAGCAGAGAGCUACAGUGAGUUAUACAACCUCACAAGAGCCACAGAACAGGGCCUAUCCAGGCAUACAGAUGACUCAAUGGAUAAUUGAGGCAGAAACCAAUAGAAAUGACAGCUGAAAUUGUUUAGAUAGGUCAACAGUCCUGGAUUUAUGAUCUUGUUUGAAAUACACUGUGACCCAGUCUUCAACAGGUAGCCCUGGGUAUGGAGUACAGACAUGCUUUAUAAUAUCCCAAGUCAAGGUGAUUGUUCACCCACUGCAUGAGUGGUGCUUGAAUUCAAGUGUGCAUAAAGAUGACGCGAAGAUCUUGUAUUAAAUACAGAUUCUCAGGCCUCUCUCAAGAGAUUCUGAUAAAACUGUCUGGGUAAAGGGCCCAGGAUCUGCAUUUUAAAAGCCCCUCAUGUGAUUCUAAUACAGGUGGCCCUACAUUCCUACUUUGAGAAACACCAGGUCACGCUAUGGGUUAAGUAACCUUGGAGGCCUGACUUUUAGGAUCUAAACACAGCUUUUAGUCCUAGCUCAUGUCACCUCACCUUCUUCAUAUAGUCCAACUGGACUAUAUGAAGAAGAACAGGGCAUCAAGAUUGGAGGAAGACUCAUUAACAACCUGCGUUAUGCAGAUGACACAACCUUGCUUGCUGAAAGUGAAGAGGACUUGAAGCACUUACUAAUGAAGAUCAAAGACCACAGCCUUCAGCAUGGAUUGCACCUCAACAUAAAGAAAACAAAAAUCCUCACAACUGGACCAAUGAGCAACAUCAUGAUA